UACGUAGGGGGCAAGCGUUGUCCGGACUUACUGGGCGUAAAGCGUGUGCAGGCGGGCCGCUAUGUGCCGUGUGAAAGCUCUCAGCUUAUCUGGGAGAGGUCGCGGUAGACAGGCAGCCUGGAGGCUCGGAGAGGUCAGUGGAAUUCCCGGUGUAGCAGUGAAAUGCGUAGAUAUCAGGAGGAAUACCGAUGGCGAAGGCAGGUCUCUGGGCUGACACUGACGCUCAUGCACGAAAGCGUGGGGAGCAAACAGG
rnacentral:rRNA from 1 species